AAUUACAUAUGUGGGCCAGGCGCACUGGCUCAUGCCUGUAAUCCCAGCACUUUGGGAGGCCGAGGUGGGCGGAUCACAAGGUCAGGAGAUUGAGACCAUCCUGGCUAACACGGUGAAACCCCGUCUCUACUAAAAAUACGGAAGGGCAUUUGUUUUGUUGGGAUAGCUACAUAACAGUCUGAUACUGAGUCUUAUGGUUUAUGCUAAGUGGUUCUUCACAAGUUUCCUUGGUUUUCCUGGCUGAUAAUGUUUGCAUAGAGGACAGACAAAAGGGGGCUGGAACUGACUUGUUAAAAAUAGACGUAAAAUGAAUUCUGUUUUCAGCUGUCACUGAUGCUCGCAACUGCAUGUGAUGUCCUGGGCCAUGGGUGAAUCCUUUGAACUUAAUGCAGAGAAUGUCUUGUGAGUAGAUAUGUGGAGAUGUGCGUAUGGAGUCUUUCAGCCUUUCUGUUAAGUGGCACCUUACCUCCAUCAUUCAUUGUAUGCGGUGUCAUAGUUCUGAGUCCUUCCUAGGUUCCCUGGGGCAGACUGGUUAGCUGCCUUUGCCCUCUGAAAUAAAUUACUACUUCUCCACCUACUUUUGUCUUCCAAAGCUUUCUCAGAUGUCUAGUGGAUAUAAUAUAUCUUUACAAAACUUAUUUUUUCAAUCCAAUAACAAGGUCAGCUUAACAUAUACUUUUUCUUUCUCCUUAGUAAAUAUUUGCAUUUUUCAGGUAGGCCCUACACACUUACUAAUUUAAUUUCUGUGUAUUUUAUAUGUUCUUAUUUUACAUGUUGCUAUUAUAAAUGGGACAUUAUUUUAUUUUUAUAGUUGACUAUUGCUAUAUAGAAAACAUAUAUUUAUGUAUUCCUUUUUAAGUGUCCAAAUUACUUUUUUUGAUUCAAGUGGGUUUUCUGGGUAGAGGAAAAAGUUUCUCUUUCAAAUAAUGAUCAUUUUACCUCCUCUAACAUUUAUGACUAGUAUUCUUUUUCUUAUCUGAUAGCAUUGCUUAUGACUUCAGAAAUAAUAGUAGUGGUUACAAAUAUGUUUAUUUUAUCCUUCACUUGAAUAGGAAUGUCUUUAGGAUUGUUAUGACUGAUAUUUGUUGGCUGCACAUAGACAUUCUUUAAACAAGUGUCCCACUGACUUGUGUUUUGCUUUUGCUGCUUUAAGCUAGAAUGUCCCAGGUAGUACACACACAAUCUCUCUCACACACACGCAACUCUCAUAAUACACUCAUGAAAAG
rnacentral:lncRNA from 1 species